rnacentral:rRNA from 1 species
AGUGAACGCUGGCGGUAGGCCUAACACAUGCAAGUCGAACGGCAGCACAGUAAGAGCUUGCUCUUACGGGUGGCGAGUGGCGGACGGGUGAGGAAUACAUCGGAAUCUACUUUUUCGUGGGGGAUAACGUAGGGAAACCUACGCUAAUACCGCAUACGACCUACGGGUGAAAGCAGGGGAUCUUCGGACCUUGCGCGAUUGAAUGAGCCGAUGUCGGAUUAGCUAGUUGGCGGGGUAAAGGCCCACCAAGGCGACGAUCCGUAGCUGGUCUGAGAGGAUGAUCAGCCACACUGGAACUGAGACACGGUCCAGACUCCUACGGGAGGCAGCAGUGGGGAAUAUUGGACAAUGGGCGCAAGUCUGAUCCAGCCAUACCGCGUGGGUGAAGAAGGCCUUCGGGUUGUAAAGCCCUUUUGUUGGGAAAGAAAAGCAGCAGGUUAAUACCCCGCUGUUCUGACGGUACCCAAAGAAUAAGCACCGGCUAACUUCGUG